rnacentral:rRNA from 1 species
GGACUACCAGGGUAUCUAAUCCUGUUUGCUCCCCACGCUGUCGCGCCUCAGCGUCAGCCGGCAGAUUGCUCUGCCUUCCUGCCCAGCGGGCCGCCUUCGCCACCGGUGUUCUUCCGGAUCUCUACGCAUUCCACCGCUACACCCGGAAUUCCACCCGCCCCUACAGUGCUCGAGCACGCCAGUCCGCAUGGCCGACCCGGGGUUGAGCCCCGGGCUUUCACCACACGCUUGGCCUGCCGCCUACGCGCCCUUUACGCCCAGUGAUUCCGGACAACGCUCGCACCCUCCGUAUUACCGCGGCGGCUGGCAC